CUACGUGCCAGCAGCCGCGGUAAUACGGAAGGUCCAGGCGUUAUCCGGAUUUAUUGGGUUUAAAGGGAGCGUAGGCGGACGAUUAAGUCAGCUGUGAAAGUUUGCGGCUCAACCGUAAAAUUGCAGUUGAAACUGGUUGUCUUGAGUGCACGCAGGGAUGUUGGAAUUCAUGGUGUAGCGGUGAAAUGCUUAGAUAUCAUGAAGAACUCCGAUCGCGAAGGCAUAUGUCUGGAGUGCAACUGACGCUGAGGCUCGAAAGUGCGGGUAUCGAACAGGAUUAGAUACCCUGGUAGUCCGCACAGUAAACGAUGAAUACUCGCAGUGUGCGAUAUAAUGUAUGCUGCCAAGUGAAAACGUUAAGUAUUCCACCUGGGGAGUACGCCGGCAACGGUGAAACUCAAAGGAAUUGACGGGGGCCCGCACAAGCGGAGGAACAUGUGGUUUAAUUCGAUGAUACGCGAGGAACCUUACCCGGGCU
rnacentral:rRNA from 1 species